rnacentral:rRNA from 1 species
CCCUUAGAUGUUCUGGGCCGCACGCGCGCUACACUGAUGCAUUCAACGAGUCUAAAACCUGCUCUGAUAGGGGUGGGUAAUCUUUUGAAUGUGCAUCGUGAUUGGGAUAGAUGAUUGCAAUUUUUCAUCUUCAACGAGGAAUGCCAAGUAAACGCAAGUCAUCAGCUUGCAUUGAUUACGUCCCUGCCCUUUGUACACACCGCCCGUCGCUCCUACCGAUUGAAUGAUCCGAUGAAUAUCAUGGAUUGAGGAUUAUAGCAGGUUCGCCUGUCUUGAUCUUCGAGAAGUGAAGUAAAUCUUAUCAUUUAGAGGAAGGAGAAGUCGUAACA